rnacentral:rRNA from 1 species
GACGAACGCUGGCGGCGUGCCUAAUACAUGCAAGUCGAACGAGAGCGACCGGUGCUUGCACUGGUCAAUCUAGUGGCGAACGGGUGAGUAACACGUGGGUAACCUGCCCAUCAGAGGGGGAUAACAUCCGGAAACGGAUGCUAAAACCGCAUAGGUCUUCGAGCCGCAUGGCUUGAAGAGGAAAAGAGGCGCAAGCUUCUGCUGAUGGAUGGACCCGCGGUGCAUUAGCUAGUCGGUGAGGUAACGGCUCACCAAGGCCGUGAUGCAUAGCCGACCUGAGAGGAUGAUCGGCCACAUUGGGACUGAGACACGGCCCAAACUCCUACGGGAGGCAGCAGUAGGGAAUCUUCCGCAAUGGACGCAAGUCUGACGGAGCAACGCCGCGUGAGUGAAGAAGGUUUUCGGAUCGUAAAACUCUGUUGUUAGGGAAGAACAAGUGCUAGAGUAACCGUUAGCGCCUUGACGGUAUCUAACCAGAAAGCCACGGCUAACUACGUG